UUUGCUUCAGUGCUGGAACAGCCUGUAGAGAGAAAAGAGAAGGAAAGUAAAGGGGAAAGUCACGGUGCUGGCCAGCUUCAGAAGCACCCUGGAUGUACAGAACAGUGGCUGCUACAUGCAGUUUCAGAUCAAUCUGCUAUCCUCAUUGUGCCUGAGACCCAAAUAAUUCCUGGGUUAACUCUGGAGACUUUGAAGGGUGUUUCAUGGAAUCUCCCAAUGCAGUUCAUGCAUAGCGUGGUAGAAAUAUUAGAGAGCCACAUGAAGGAAGAUGAUGAAUUCAUCCCCUGUUCGUGCACUGGAAACUCACUGUGCGAAAUCCUGUCAUCUGAAGUGGGCCUCCCUGCUGUCAUUAAACUGUGUCUCUUUAAAUCUACUGAGGGUGAUAUUCCUUCUGGCCCACAGGAUGCCAAAAUGACUUGAUGAUUUAUUUAUGCAGUGCUUGGCAGGCCAUAGUCCAGAUUGUGGCUGAAGCUGAAUUUUAUGAGCCUUUCCCUAGUGAGUAUGUUUUAAAAUUAUAUUAAAAAAUAUAUUUUUGGAAAUCCUCAGUC
rnacentral:lncRNA from 1 species